GGAAGGAGGAGGCAAGCAAGCAGAAAGGAGGAAACUGCUGGACUGUAAUCUUGCUCUAUAGGUUGAUUAAAACUGAUUCGGUUUUAGUUGGCAGCCACUCCUUCCUCCAUGGCAGUCAGCCCUGACUGAGCUGCUCCACAGGCCUUUAUACCUGUCCUCCAGCUGAAGCAUGACCUGCAGCGCUAUUGGGGUUGGAAGGGGAGCAGGUGAAUGAGGAAGGCAGUGAAGGAAGAGAAAGGAUUGUGUCACGAUUAAGGCAAUUGGAUUUUCUACCCCUGCAUCUGCUACAGAAUUCCUGUACUGGGCUGGUCACUUAAACCAAAUUCUUUACAGAAGGCCACUAAUUGCACAUUCCUCAUUUUCUUGGUGUCUGACUUGAUACUGUGGGAUCUAAUUUGCAGAAGUGCUGAGUGCUUACAGCUGCAGCGGAAGUCACGAAACUGGGAGAAAACAAAUUGGACAAAGAGUGUGCAGAGUUCUUGCCUUCACCAUCUCUCUCCCUGACACCUUGUGAUGUUGCCCAUGCUAAUGACACUGGGUCUUGUGAUUUUGAUUAUUUUGUCAAAGCCCCAUCUACGAAUCAUGCUAUUAUAAGAGCAUCUCAAUUUUCAUUUACAACAAAACUACAUUUCUAGCCAUCAUGGUGGCAGUCAAAAGGUUGAGAAUGUGAACUUGAAAGGCUCAAAACCUAUAAAGCAAAUAAAAAGCAUCCUCAAGUUUUAUUAAGAUCUUAUAUUUUUAAGUCAAUCUCACAAUAAUCUGGGACCCAACUUGUGGUUUUUGCAGUUGGUGAGAAUGCAUUUGUCUGCCCUUCCAGAGACACAAAAUAAAGUAAAAUUUCUCUUUUACCUUCACUCCUUUAGAGAUGUUCACAGUAUGUGAGUGUAACCCUCACUAACAUAGGAAUUUUACCUGAUGCUAGCUGCUUUGCUGCCAGAAGCACACUAGUCUGGGAGAAAGAUUUCAAAAUGGAGUAUGGGAUAUUUAUAGUUGAAGCCCCUCCCACAGGUAAAACUGAAUAUUGGGAGUAGGAAAUGGGGAUAUAGAUAUAAUAUAGAA